UAUAGAACAUAUGUUUAUAAGUAUAUAAAGAGAUCAUUUUGUGCAAAUAGCUGUGUUUUAGUGGGAGCAGUAAUGAUUUAUUUAAUAAAUAUUAACCCUAAGAGAAAUUUGAUAAAAAACGAAGCGAAUUGAAAUAUCUUAAUAGCUUUAGGAAAAGAAAUCAAAAGAGAUUCUAUGAUUAGUGUGAGCGAAAGUAGACAAGCCUAAAAAAAAGUAAAACAGAUUUAAAUCUUCUUGAACUUUAAGGGGAACCUUCCUCUAAGGCUAAAUAAUAAACAUAAGCGAUAGUGUAAUAGUACCGUGAGGGAAAUUUGUAAAAAGUUAUUUUAUAAGCAGUUCAAGCUAAAAAAAAGCAAGAACGUACCUUUUGCAUAAUGGGUCACCAAGUUAACUUUGGAUGCAAGUUAGCGCGUAGUUAAAACAAUCAUAAGUAAUGAUUAGUGUCUAAAGUUAGACCCGAAGCCUGGUGAUUUUACCACAAUCAGGAUUAUAAAAGUCCGAACGGUAUAUCGUUGCAAAGAUAUCCGAAGAAUUGUGGUAGGUAUGGUGAAAGACAACACUGACCAGGAAAGCUGGUUUUCUGCGAAACCUAUAAAAGUAGGCAAUUUUAGUUACAUCUUAGUAGGUACAGAACUUAAUCUCAGACAAAUAGUAUAUUUGUAUAUAUCGGGGGAUCGUGAAGAUUUUAUCGGUGAGUAUGUAGACUCGGAAUGACAAAGAUGAAUCUAAAAUAAUCAGACAUAGAGUGAUAAGGUUGUAUGUCAAAAGGGAAACAGCCCAGAACAAAAGUUAAGGUUCCAAAAUUAUAGUUGAGUGAAAUUAAGAAAGUUUCUAUUUAAGCCGACAAGGAGAUGGGCUUAGAAGCAGCCAUAAUUUAAUGACCUCGUAAUAGAGCACUUGUUAAACCUUUAGAAGCGUCGAAAAUUCAACGGAUCUAAACUAUAUACCGAAACUUUGUCCAUUUAUAUUAUUAUUAUAUAAUUGUAUAAUAAGGGGUAGCAGAACAUUGAAUUAACACUAGAAAUUCCUUUUUUAAAGGGAUCUGAAAGUAAUUCAAGAGAUAAUGGUGACAUUAGUAACAAUAAGAAGACAAUAAUACUAAAUAACAUGGUAAAAGUCUCCGCCUAAAGCUUAUGGUCCGUAAAAAGUAACGGCCUCUAAAUUGAAAAUCUAAUGGUUUUGAUGAUGAGUAAAUCUUUUUUUACUAAAGGACGACGUUUUAAAGUGAAAAGCGUACUGGAAAAAUAGUAAUAUAUCUAAAAAGAUGAAAAACAACCGUACCUGGAUUAACCGCAACAGGUAAGCUAGUAGAGAAUACGAAGGCGUAAAUGGGAUAACAAUCUUAAUAUAUAGGGUUAGGCUCCUAUAUUGAGAAUAAGAGCCAAACUCCGGGGAAGCCCUAAAGCUCCUAAUACCAAACUUAAUGGCGAAAGUAUUAAGCGGACCAACUAAUCACUGGUGUAUGGUAAUAAGUUAGGUAGAUUUUAGAAAUAAGAAUGGGUGAUCGCGGAUCUAAAUCAAUUAUAGUAAAAUUAUCUUUGCCCCCUUCGGGGGGCCAUUUCCCCGGCACAGCACCCCCUCAGCUUCAGCUGAGUGGGUUUCGGGGAAAUAGGUAGUGAUAUUAUAGUUGUAAAAGAGCAACGAGUAGAUGGUUCUUCAAUAUAUAUGUAUAUUAUAUAUUGUAAGGUGUACUCUAGCCCCCAAAGAAACUUGGUUUUUUAAUAAUUUAUCUUUAAUAUAUUUGUAUUUGUAGGCUAUAUAAGCCACAAUGUUUGUUUCUAUAAAUUACCUAAUUAAGGGAGCUAGCGUAAGCUAUAACUUCCACUAAAUAUAUGAAUUAUGUAAGUUUUAUAAUUUUUCUAAUAAAAUUAAAUAACACUACCGCUUUAUUUUUUUAGUAACUAGCAUUAGGCCUAACGGUCCGUCGAGUCGGGCGAUAUUAUGGUUGGGGCUAGCACCCUCUUCUUGUGGUAUUUUAGAUGAUGAUUUUUAUAGAAAAUAUUGCACGGGAGUCUCGAAGUUUAAAUCAAUAUUAUAAGAUAUGAUAUCUGUUAUAUUGUAAUUAACAGUAAGGGUAUUAGGAUAGAAUAUUUGUAAAAGAAUAUCUCCGGACUGAUCUCCAUGAUCAAUGGAAUAAGGUAAUCUUUUGAUUUUAGGAAUUAGUUAAGGUGCAUCAAAAAGGAUUAAAGGCCCUUUUUAUGUAACGAUCUGAGUAGUAGUUAAACAACCUGCUAAACAAAUUCUGUUAAUUAUAAUAUUCUUAAGGAGUUACCUUAUAUAUUUGGCUCCCACUUAGUGACUUAAUAAUAAAAUAAAAACAGCGACAAAGAAUUUUACUAAUAAUUUAAUUAAUUUUAUUAACCCUAGUUAUAUCUCAGGGUUUGUUGAUGCAGAAGGGUGUUUUCAUGUUUCUGUUAUUAAAAAUAAAAAUUUACAUUUAGGUGUAAAUGUUAGGGCUAUUUUUCAAAUAACUCUUCAUAAUAAAGAUCAAGCUUUACUAGAAAAAAUAAAAGAUUUCUUUAAUGUUGGAUCAGUUUCUAUACGUACAGAUGGUGAAGCCGUCUAUGGUGUUUAUUCUUUAAAAGAUCUUCGAAUUAUUGUAAAUCAUUUUGAUAAGUAUCCUUUGAUAAGUGAUAAAUGAGCUGAUUUCCAGUUAUUUAAACAAGUUGUUGAGCUAAUGGAAAAUAAAGAACAUUUAACUGAGAAUGGUUUAAAAAAAAUAAUUAAUCUUAAAGCAUCAAUGAAUUUUAGUGCUAUUUCUGAGGAUUUAAAAGUUUUAUUUCCUAAUAUUGAACCUGUUGAGAGACCUGUGAGAGAUGAUAUAAUUAUUUAUGAUCCUUACUGGGUAACUGGGUUUGUAGAAGGAGAGGGAAUGUUUUUUGUAAAUAUAUAUAAAAAAAAAGAAUCUGUUUUAGGGGAAGGUGUUAAAUUAAUAUUUAAAAUAACACAAGAUAGUAAAAAUAAAGUACUAUUAGAAAGUUUUGUAAAUACUUUUUUUUCAGGUAAAGUCUAUAAACAAUCACCAACUACUAAAGUAUUAGAUUUUAUGAUAACAGGUCUUGGAGAUAUAACAAAAAAUGUUAUACCUUUUUUUGAAUCUUAUCCUUUAUUGGGAUCAAAGAAAAGAGAUUAUGAAGAUUUUAAAUUAGUUUCAGAUUUAAUGAAAACUAAAGAGCAUUUAAAUAAAAAAGGAUUAGAAUCGAUCCGUAAGAUUAAAUCGGGAAUGAACUCGAAUCGUAACUAAGAGGUGUUUACAUAAUUGUAAGCGCCUAAUUUUAAUUUGUAUUGUAUAUCAACCUGACGCCCACUAGGGCGGUUCUUCUUUGAGGGAACUCAUUAAAUAUUAAAGAUAAAUUAUUAAAAUUAAGGUAAAGCAUAUUAGCCUUUUCAUAUACUUUUUUAGAGCUUAUAUCUAAAAAAUGGUUUUUUUACUAAGAUAUGGAUAGAAAUAUGUAGCGAAAGGAACUCGGCAAAUUUACUACGUAACUUCGGAAUAAGGAGGUCUCAUUAGUCUUGAUUAAUAUCAGGUAAAAAGGAAGAAGCAUGAAAUAAUGUUGUACGACUGUUUAAUUAAAACACAGCACUUUGCGUCAAAGAUUUAAAUCAAAGUAUAAAGUGUGAUGUCUGCCCGGUGCCGGCUGGUUAACAGAUAUAAUUAAAUUUUCUUAGGGAAUUUAGUGUUGACGGAACCCCCGGUUAAUGGCGGCCUUAACGUGAGGGUCCUAAGGUAGCGAAAUGCCUUGGCCGUUAAAUGCGGUCUUGCAUGAAUGAUGUAACGAUACAACAGCUGUCUCUAAGAUUGACCCAGUGAACUUGAAUUAGCAGUCAGAUGCUGCUUACCUCUAGCUGGACGAGAAGACCCUAUGCAGCUUUACUGUUACUAAUUAUAGGGUAUAGAAGGCAAAUUUUAGAUAUAAGGUAUAUCGAUUGAUGAUUAUGAAAAUCCUUUAUUUUUCUUUUAUAUUUUUGAAUGAAAUCAGGAAUAUAUGCUUAACAGCUAUAUUAGUGAUUUAACCUAGUUCGAAUAAUGGCCUUGGGUGAGGAACUAUUGUUAGGAGACAGUUUAUGCGGGGCACAGACCCCAUAAAGAGUAAAUGGGAGUGUCUAAUAUUUAUAAUGUAAUAUCGUAUUUAUAUGAUAUUUUUUUUUGUUUGUUGUUUUAUGUAGAUAAACUACGUAUUAUCUUAUAUAAUUUUUUGUAUAUAUGCACGACCAUAUAUAUAUUUAAUAAAGUUUAUAUAGCAAUUUUUUGAUAGGUAAGAUUUUCUCUAAAGAGAAAUUAGAUGUACUGAAUAUAUUAUGAUCUGAAUCUAAUAUUUUCUUAGUUAUAAUUUAUUAUAAUAUUGAUUAGUACUUAGAAAGCUCAACGGCUUAAAUCUUGCCUUACUGUUUGAUUAACAACAAAUCUUUCAGUUGCGUAAGCAGGGCGUAGGAUCACAAGAUGCAUAAAGGAAAGAUCUUGUAUUAUAGGAAAAGCUACGCUAGGGAUAACAGGCUAAUUUGCGCAAGAGUGUACAAAAUGAGUGCGCGGUUUGGCACCUCGAUGUCGGCUUAACUUAUCCUCAUGGAUGCAAGAACUAUGUAGGGUACGACUGUUCGUCGAUUAAAAAGUUACAUGAGCUGGGUUAAAUACGUCGUGAGACAGUAUGGUUUCCAUCCUCUAGGGGGAAUUAGAAUAUAAUAAGGAUUAACCUUUGUACGAAAGGAACUGGUAGUAUAUAAUCUUAAAAAUUAUAUAACAUUUAUUAACCUAUGGUUUACCUGUUGUUUAUAUGCCCAAUAUUAAUUUAUAUAUAAUAUAUUAUUAUAUUAUAUGGGAUUAUACUAAACUCACUUAAGUAUCUUUAUAGUAUAGGCACGGCAGGAAAGCUAAGUUAGUUAAAGAUAAGAACUGAAAGCAUAUAGGUUCGAAGCUUACCUUAGGAUAUUUCUUAAAUAUGCGUAAUAUAAUAUUACGAAGAUUUUUAUAGGCUUUAUUUGAAAGAAUUAGAAAUUUUUAAAAAUAAAGUACUAAUUUUAUAAAUUACUAAACAUUAAUAUAUCUUACAUUUUUAAUA
rnacentral:rRNA from 1 species